UGUACUGGAAAGUGCACUUGGUAU
rnacentral:rRNA from 1 species